CAAGGACGGCAAGGGUAUUCCAAAUCUGUUUAAAAAACCGCCAGCCCUGUCUGGACGCCCCACGAACAUGACCAAUACUGAAAGGUACUGGCGCGCGGUAUCUCCCCCCAAGUACCCAGCCAGUGAAGGUACCGAGGAAUGCGUACCUUUGUUCCACUCCUAAUGGUCUUGACCCGGAUUCAUCCCCCAGAACCCGG
rfam:Pseudomonas aeruginosa C3719 cont1.38, whole genome shotgun sequence.